rnacentral:ncRNA from 1 species
UCCACUGUAAAGUGGAAUCUGAAGGAAGCUGGCGGCAAACAUCCGGGCCGACGAACAGAAACUGUAUACAAGGCGGGGUUACAAGGGUGAUGUUGCAUAAGAAACAAAAACCCGAUACUACACAGAUUGUAACAACGUAAAUGCAGCGGCUACAUGGAUGGAAAGCGAUAACA